UAUCUGUUUGUCACCUUUAUACACUUAUAUUUAUUUUUACAUUUUUACUCAUAUGUUAUUUAUAUAUUAUCUGUUUGUUAGGUGACUGGACUAGGUUUGCUACGUUGUUUGAUUACGAUAUGACUAUUAUAUUGACUCCGAUGAAGACUUUUAAUUAUUGACUUGAUAAUGUAAUUGCGGACUUUUUAAUGAAGAUAUUACACUGAAGAUGGUCCAACGUUGUGACCGAAACGUUUGUAUGAUUUGAAUUUGGAUUUAAAUAAAUAAGAAGCACUGGACACCCAGCUUUGGCUCGUUGCAGUUGAUUUACUUCGUAAUUGGAAGAUAUCGAGCCUGUUACACUUCAAGUUCUUCCAUAACAUUUUACUUAACCUGAUAGAAACAAUAAUACUCGAAAUUAUUAUUCACUUUAUAUUUUUGUUUACUGUUGGCAAGAUCAACGAAUACUGGGAUAAUAAUAGUUAUACAGUAUAUCUGGGACAUUGUGUGCGUGUGUGUGUGUGAUAAUAAUACGUGUGAUAAAUGACAAAUAAAUUUACGUUGUGUUGUAA